GUGCUUGGUUAAGCUGCACAUACAUUAAAAUUGAAAUGAUAAGGAAAAUAAAGCAAGAAUCCUGGGCAAGGAUGAGAUGCAGAUUCAUGAAGAGUUAAAACCAUUU
rnacentral:snRNA from 1 species